rnacentral:rRNA from 1 species
AAUCAACGCUGGCGGCGUGCCUCAGACAUGCAAGUCGAACGAUUAAAGCUCUCUUCGGAGAGUGUAUAGAGUGGCGCACGGGUGAGUAACACGUAAGUAAUCUACCCUCGAGUGGGGAAUAACGUCCGGAAACGGACGCUAAUACCGCAUAAUGCAGCGGCACCGCAAGGUGACAGUUGUUAAAGAUUUAUCGCUUGAGGAGGAGCUUGCGGCAGAUUAGCAGUUGGUAAGGUAAUGGCUUACCAAGGCUACGAUCUGUAACCGGUCUUAGAGGACGGUCGGUCACACUGACACUGAAUAACGGGUCAGACUCCUACGGGAGGCAGCAGUCGGGAAUUUUGGGCAAUGGGCGAAAGCCUGACCCAGCAACGCCGCGUGAAGGAUGAAGUA